GAUGAACGCUAGCUACAGGCUUAACACAUGCAAGUCGAGGGGUAACGAGAGGAAAGCUUGCUUUCCUUGUCGACGACCGGCGCACGGGUGAGUAACGCGUAUCCAACCUGCCCCCAACUAGGGAAUAACCUUGCGAAAGUAAGACUAAUACCCUAUAAUUUCCUCAGAUGUCAUCUGACGAGGAAUAAAGAUUUAUCGGUUGUGGAUGGGGAUGCGUCUGAUUAGCUUGUCGGCGGGGUAACGGCCCACCAAGGCAACGAUCAGUAGGGGUUCUGAUAGGAAUGUCCCCCACAUUGGAACUGAGACACGGUCCAAACUCCUACGGGAGGCAGCAGUGAGGAAUAUUGGUCAAUGGGCGGAAGCCUGAACCAGCCAAGUAGCGUGCAGGAUGACGGCCCUAUGGGUUGUAAACUGCUUUUAUACAGGAAUAAAGUUAGCCACGUGUGGUUAUUUGUAGGUACUGUAUGAAUAAGGACCGGCUAAUUCCGUGCCAGCCGCCGCAGUAA
rnacentral:rRNA from 1 species